rnacentral:sRNA from 1 species
AGCUGGGGUCGGAUUACAGGUUUCCCUCUGCUUUUGGGUGCGACAGGGCCCUGUCGCACCCAAAAGCAGAGGGAAACCUGUAAUCCGACCCCAGCU